rnacentral:rRNA from 1 species
UACGUAGGGAGCAAGCGUUGUCCGGAAUCAUUGGGCGUAAAGCGCGCGUAGGCGGCCCUGUAAGUCCGUUGUGAAAGUCAAAGGCUCAACCUUUGAAAGCCGAUGGAUACUGCGGGGCUAGAGUCCGGAAGAGGCGAGUGGAAUUCCUGGUGUAGCGGUGGAAUGCGCAGAUAUCAGGAGGAACACCAAUAGCGAAGGCAGCUCGCUGGGACGGUACUGACGCUAAGGCGCGAAAGCGUGGGGAGCGAACAGG